UGGCGGACGGGUGAGUAAUGCUUGGGAAUCUAGCUUAUGGAGGGGGAUAACUACGGGAAACUGUAGCUAAUACCGCGUAGUAUCGAGAGAUGAAAGUGUGGGACCUUCGGGCCACAUGCCAUAGGAUGAGCCCAAGUGGGAUUAGGUAGUUGGUGAGGUAAAGGCUCACCAAGCCGACGAUCUCUAGCUGGUCUGAGAGGAUGACCAGCCACACUGGGACUGAGACACGGCCCAGACUCCUACGGGAGGCAGCAGUGGGGAAUAUUGCGCAAUGGGGGCAACCCUGACGCAGCCAUGCCGCGUGAAUGAAGAAGGCCUUCGGGUUGUAAAGUUCUUUCGGUAGCGAGGAAGGCAUUUAGUUUAAUAGACUAGGUGAUUGACGUUAACUACAGAAGAAGCACCGGCUAACUCCGUGCCAGCAGCCGCGG
rnacentral:rRNA from 1 species